rnacentral:rRNA from 1 species
ACACCGGCAGCUCAAGUGAUAGCCGCUUUUAUUGGGCCUAAAGCGUCCGUAGCCGGUCUGAUAAGUCUCUGGUGAAAUCCCACAGCUUAACUGUGGGAAUUGCUGGAGAUACUAUCAUGACUCGAGGUCGGGAGAGGCUGGAGGUACUCCCAGGGUAGGGGUGGAAUCCUGUAAUCCUGGGAGGACCACCUGUGGCGAAGGCGUCCAGCUGGAACGAACCUGACGGUGAGGGACGAAAGCCAGGGGCGCGAACCGGAUUAGAUACCCGGGUAGUCCUGGCCGUAAACGAUGUGGACUUGGUGUUGGGAUGGCUUCGAGCUGCCUCAGUGCCGAAGGGAAGCUGUUAAGUCCACCGCCUGGGAAGUACGGCCGCAAGGCUGAAACUUAAAUGAAUUGGCGGGG